rnacentral:tRNA from 1 species
GGAGCUGUGGCUCAAUGGUAGAGCACUCACCUAGCACAUGCGAGGCCCUGGGUUCAAUCCUCAGCACCA